UACGGAGGGUGCAAGCGUUGUCCGGAAUCACUGGGCGUAAAGGGCGCGUAGGCGGCUCAUGAAGGCUGUGGUGAAAGUCCGGGGCUCAACCCCGAAUCGGCCGUCGAUACUCCCGGGCUUGAGCACUGUAGAGGCUAAUGGAAUUCCGGGUGUAGCGGUGGAAUGCGUAGAGAUCCGGAAGAACACCGGUGGCGAAGGCGGUUAGCUGGGCAGUUGCUGACACUGAGGCGCGACAGCGUGGGGAGCAAACAGG
rnacentral:rRNA from 1 species